AUGCUCACUUUGGCAGCCCAUAUACUAAAAUUGGAAUGAAUCAGAGACGAUUAGCAUGGCCCCUGAGCAAGGAUGACACACAAAUUUGUGAAGUGUUGCAUAAUUUU